rnacentral:lncRNA from 1 species
UAAAAGCUCUUCUCAUUCCAUUCUUAGAGAUGAGGGAAGCAACUCUGUCAUCCACAGCUCCUUCAGAUGCCUUUUAUUCUUAAUUUCUCUGCAGAGAUAAACUCCUUUCAUGGUACUAAACUAUCAUAGUCAGCUCAGGAAAAAAACAUUACUUACUGGUCAGUGCAGGCAGGCAACAUCCAAAAGGGAAAAUAUCUCCUACCAAAGCAAUCUACUGACCUGAACUUGCUUGUUGUGACUUUUCCCUCCUUGGCCUCACAGUUCCCUGGCCAUUCAUGCAGGACAGGAAGUGCACUUGGUCCUCUGCUGCAGGACUGGACAUUCAGGCAUGAGAAACAUGCACAGGCAACUGGGGCAAGAGACUGACUGCAAAACCCAAUCCAAGGCCAAACAUGGGAAAUCUGAGAGGUGGCAAAUGCAGGAGGUUGCUGUUCUUCCCCAGAGAGUUGGAAAGUUUUCCCAGGAGAGAUGCUGGACUGAUGAGAUCUUGCACUACUCCAGGUAGGUCUAAGCAAAGUUCAUAAAAGAGCCAAGUGCACCCAAAGUGCUGUGGUGUGCUCUUUCCCCUUGGAGACUUGUGGGGUUUGGAAGCCAGAGGAAUUUUCCCCUUCACUUCAGCUGGGCUUGGACAAACCCCAAAGUACACAGAGUAAUGCAACACUGUGAAAUUAUGAAAUGUAGGAGACAACACUCAUAUUUUCUUAGUAUCAAAACAAAGGCCAUUAUGUAAUGCUUGCUACUAUAGGAGAACAGGAAUGUUUGCUUGGUUCCAUGAUUACAGGGGAAGCAGUAGCAAGUUAAUGCUUAACUCUGUCUUUGCAAUUUUGUUCAAUCCCAAGACUUAAAAAAACUCUGAACCAGUCUUGAAGUAGAAAAAGUCUGGAGUGGUUUUGCUACAUGACAAUACAAGGCCGCCCUACAAUCUAAUCCACUGCUCUUCCAAAGCAGGAAAUCAGUGCUCUCCAAAGAGCCUGUCAGCCCGCAAGGAAAAAGGGGAGAUGCCCGAUUUCUCACCCCGCCUCAUGCGCGCUUGCCCUGGUGAUGUCACUGACUCUUCCUGUCCCUGUGUGCUACAAAGUGACAGAAGCCAGUGCCACUUUUUAGCAUAGUGGCUAUGCUAAAAACACGUCUGCCUGAGACUGAACUGGCCCCGACUCGAUGUUUCAUCAG